rnacentral:misc_RNA from 1 species
AAGUUUUUUUUUUUAUUUAGCAAGUUUUUUAAUCUGUUUUUUAUAAGUCUAUAUAUGUAGGUAUAAGUAAGUCAGCAAAGAGGCGUAAGACUAUUUAAGUUACGGAUAUUUCGGACCUACCUGUUUUAUUUAGAACUAAAAAAAUGUAAAUAAAGUGUUUUAUUUCAUUUUCAAACGUGAAAACAUUUAUAUUGUGAUACUAUAUAAAAUUACAAAAAUGCUAAAACAUUCAUUUGAUUAACUUUUCAUCUACAAUUCUGAAGAAAAACAAUUUAUUACUUAUAGCAAACUUCAAAAAUCAUAUUGAAUUCCAUUUACUGAAAAUUAUGGCUUUCAUGGUUAAUUAAAGCUGGCAUUAUGACUUCAAUUGUAAUUAUAAACAAUAACAGAGUAGUUAAUCUAAUAUUGAGAAGACACAAAAGACAUUGGUCAUACGGUUGAAAUAACAAAGUCAAUAAAACUUUCAACCCCAUAGGAAGACAUGUAGACAUUUUAUAGUUACACCUACUUAACCCAGAGAAACCAUUGCAAAUUUUAGAAAAAAAAAUCAUAAACAAUCUUACCAUGUAAAGACUUGUUAAAACAAUAUACAAAAGAUAGUUAACUGCAAACCAUUAAUAUGCUUUUAUAUUGAAAGCAGUUGAAACAUGGUGGUAGGCUAGCAUUCGGUGGUCCU